CCUGUUUAUCCUGGGACCGCGCAUCCUGCAGGCACUGACGGCAGAGGAUGUCAGUCACAAACCUGCUCGGAGCCAGCGCACGCCCGUCCCAAGUCAAAAGUCACAGCAGCGGGCCCGGAAAGACAGUUUCCACAGGACGAGUCAAAAAGGCGGCACCUUUUCUGCCCAUCGAGGGAUGAGCCGCCUGUGGUAGGAAAGGAUUUACAACCAGCCUCGUAAACACCGCGAGCCCCGGCGCCUGGCGUGGGGGAAAAGGCCCCUCCCGGGGACCCGGAGGCGUAAACAGCUCGGGUUUCCGCGGGGGAUGGAGCCGCCUGAAAGGCCAGGCUGACGGAAAAACAAAAACCGACAGCCCGACUUCCGAGCCGGAGCCGCAGCUCCUGGGGAGGGAGGCCCCGCGCGCGCAGAGGGGUCGGGCCGGCGGCGCCGCGCCUCGUGUGCGCCCCGCGGAUGCGCGGCUGCCGGAGCGCGCGGACGGGGCGCGCGUUGCAGGUGGUGAUUCUCGCCGAAAGCAUUCUAGCCUCUGGGACCCGGCAAUGAUUCUGGCUGCACACUUGUCCCCAGACAGGCUUCCAGAUUUAGGACAUUGUAUUUGGGUUUUUUUCCCCUUGCUCCUUCGAGUUUAUUCGAGCUUUGCCUUCCCUUCCUGCUUCUCUCCUUUAAUGUGCCUCCCAGCUAAGGCGGGAGCUGUGGGUCCCAGACCGGGGAUUCGGCACCAUCUAGUGGCCAGCGGAGAGGUGUCGGCUCGCUGAAACUGCCUGGGAAUAAUAACAACUAGGCGUAGAUCCAGGUCGUUCAGCAUGAGUUUAAAUAACAAAGAUCAACAGAACAGAACAAAAACACUGACAACAACAACAAAGGACACAGUGAGCGCUCGGCGUCAGAUUAAUACCGAGGACAUGGGGGGCCCUGCAGCCAGGCCCAACGAGGCCAGGUCUUCCAUUCUUUCCUGGCCCUGCUUUAAAAGAAGCUGUGAGUGGGAGGCCUGGGCUUGACCCAAGGAGGUUUGCACCAUUCUGCAGACCCCCGUUUCUCUCCUGCCUACCGUCUGCUCCAGAGCAGAACUUUUCCACGACUCUGCUGUCUGUUGGAGAGUGGCUUUCCGGCGCACUCCGGCCGUCAUCAGUCAUGGGUGCUUGUGCAGUGUGGGGAGAGGGUGGGUCAGACGCACCCCUGAUGGCCUGGUUCUUAAAUCUGCCAGGUCCAUCCUCAGGAGACUGAGUCAGUAGGUCUGAGAGGAGCCCGGAAACUCGCUUUUUUAACCACCUGCCAAGUGAUUGUGACACAGGAGAGGAAAGAUAUUUACUGCAAACAUAAAGCAAGAGGACAAUUUGCAAGAGCUGCUGAGGGGAAUCUGAGAGAGCCCAGCCUUUGCGUCCUGUGGUGCACCGGGAUUUCAGAAGCCAGGAGACAUGGAGGAAACAUCCCUCGCAAUUCUCCUUCCAGUCAUCCCUGUGCUUUCAUAGAACAGUGGAAAACCAUGCUCCUGAGUGCACAUGGCGAGAUCUGAAGAAGGUCCUGGGAGGAAAGGCGUCGCGAAAUCUUAUUAAAACUGGUUAGGGUCCCACGGAUAGCCUGCAACAGAUCGUAGUUCUGAGGGUUUCCAUAAAAAGGUAUUCAUUUUCAGGUUGAAUGAAGCUGGCACAGACAGGAAGCUGAUGAAGCGCUCCCACGUCCAGUGGUCAUAUGAGUGUGGGCCCCCUGCCGCCAAUGGGUGGCUCUGGGGAAGAGUUUCUCUGAGUCUUAAUUUCCUCAUUUGCAACAUGGGAGAAAGAUAACAGUUCUUUCCCCGUUGGAUUGUUGGGAGGCUCAUGUGACAUGACACAUGACAAAUGCUCGAUAAAUGUUUGCUAUUAUGACCUGAGAAAAGUAUAAUUCAUUCAAAGAAGUCCAAGGAAAUCCAGGUAAAUUUUAAGCCAGUAUAUUUUUCUGUGAAUGGGAAACUAUCAUCUUUAGGCUAAAAAAAAAAAGAACUAUGUUAUUUUUCUUUUUUGGUUUGGUUUUUCCUUAAAAAAAAAAAUAGAAAAAGCAAAAAAACUGUCCCCAAACGUAAGCAAGCAAAUGAACUAAAGGAAAUUUACAACCAUGGGGAGUCAUGAAAUUGCAAGGCGUCCCUGGGGACGAGUGGAAGCCCAUUGCUCCAUUGCUCCAGCCCAUGGAAUCAUUCAGGAAUGUCCUCCCCGGGACUGGACAGAAUGAUGCAGGCCGAUUUUCCAUCUGAGAUGUGUGCAGUGCUGUGAGGAUGGUUCCCACUGGCCACUGACCAAUCUGAGGCCUGUGACUAGGUGACUGCUUUCUUUCCAUGUGGAAAAACCACUUUUAAUGGGAGAAAUCAGGGUGGUGGAAUCUUUCGCGUCUCAUGAUGGUCAGAAGCAUUUCCUAGUUCUUCUCUCCGGAUUCCGACCACCAGAAGGCAUUGACCUUGUUGAAAGCAUGAAAGUCCAUCUGCUAUAACUAGAAUUUUCCCCAACCGCAGCCCUUUGACUCAAGUUGGGAGGCACUGUUAUGUGGAUGCUGCUCAUCCUUCCUGGGGCUGCUGCUCAGGGAAUGAAUAGAAAUUGGCUUUUGCACAGGCAACUGUUGAAAGAGCACUGGAUUCCGUCAGAGAAUCUGAUCUUAAAUGCUAAGGGCCAUUUACAAAUUGUGUGAUCUUGAGAAAUUCUUCCUUUUCAGCUUCUGUGUAUUUAUCUGUAAAAUGAGGUAAUAAAAACUAACAGGGCUACCAAGAAGAAUAAAACCGAGGAAUAUGAGGUUCUAUUAUCCAGCUCGAUGCAUAAGUAUUAGUUGAAUAUGAGUAUGUGGGAGGGGAUGGGGUUGACAUGUUGAUAAGCUUAAGACUACCAAGGGAUUGUGGAAACCAUAAGGACAAACUUAGAAUGUUCGUAAAUAUAGGUCAAAUACUUCCAUUUACUCAGUAAGCUAGGUCAGCGCAGGGCAGCAUUGUCAGCAUGGAUACAGGAGAAGUUAGUCUAUUUCCUAGAGACUUCCAGAAAAGUCUCCAAAACUUUAGAUGCCUGUUACUUUUUAAGAAUGGUGGCCUCAACAGGCUUUCCCUCCAACAUAGCUGCUAUGGAUUGAACCAUGUGCGUUGGAAGAAAAACAGGAGAUGUGCAGCAUGAGGGUCAGAGGACUGGGCCAAUGGCAGGCACACACAGACCAGGCUAGCAGGGGAAGGUCGACUGAGUUCCAGUCUAUUUGGUGCAAGUUUCCGCCUGAUACAGGCGCACUAUAUUGGAUGGCAGCAAGUAACCCCAUGGAGUCCUCUCACUGGGGAUGUGUAAAAUGCAGGGGAACCCUGAGAAGGGGGUGCCCUUGAGUUAAACUGGAUUCUGGGCUGUGGGGAACCUCUGCCCUGCUUCCACGUACAUCUGGCUGUGCUCCCCGUUCUCAGAAACCGAGAGACCCUGAAUCCUCUGUGGCUGACCUUCCAAUGACCUGUUCCAGAUGGUGACGUCUGCAUAUCUGUUCCUUGCAGCCUUUACGACUCAGAUCAAUACAUUCUUGUAACCGUAGGUCCUAGGCAAGACAAACAGCUUUUGUUUUAAAGCAUCAGAUGUUGGAUUCCAGCCACUAGACCACCAGGGAACCUAAAGCAAUCAGAUAUUGGAGACACCAGUUAAAAAAUAGACAUUCAAUAUAGUGCAUAGGAGGGAGGUAGAGUUUUGAGAAAUGAGAGAGCAAGACGGCAGGAAAGCCAGCGUUUUCUUGUUGAAAUGAGGCUGGCAUGACCGCCAUGACACUCCUGGGCUACGAUUUCCUGCUCUGCCAUGUGGCUGGGGAGGUGGAAGAGCAGAGAGCCUCCAGCAGAGCAGAAUUCCAGGGACUCUGACCGCCCUGAGGAUCAAGAGCUGUCGGACGACGGCUGAUGAAGGCUUUCCAUGAAAAGCCUGCAGAGGAGUCAGAAAGACUCACUGCUGCGAGUUUGAGAGUGACUUUGAAGGGGUGUUUUGGUCAAGUCUGAGGAGGGAACAGUGGUUGGAUGGAGGAAAUGCUUAGUAUUGGAUGGUAAUGGAAGACUGUUGAGAAGGGUUUCUAAUUGCGUGGAAGUAUAUAUAUACUUAAAAAUGUAAGUCCUGAUUGUAUUUCACGUCCAUCGGGGUAAACACUGGCACAGAGGGGAGACAACGUGAAGACACCCAGGAAGAUGCCACGUGAAGACAGAGGAUUGGAGAUUGGCAUCGACAAGCCAGGGAAUGCCCAAGCUCCCCAGCGAACAACCAGGAGCUGAGAAGACGCCAGAGAGGAUCCCACCAGGGUUUCAGAGGGAGCUCAGCCCUGCCCACACCUUGAUCUUGGACUUCCAGCCUCCAGGACCGGGAGACAAUGCAUUUCUGUUCUAAGCCACCUAGUCUGUGGUGCUUUGUGACGGCUGUCCUAGGAAGCACACACAGGUGUGGAUAAGGAGGUUUAGCUAAUGAGGAAUUCUAACUCCUUAGAGAAUGAACUGAAGUGGAGAAGUUGAGAUUCUCUUAGGUCCAAUUCAUCAUUCUCUGGGUAGCAAAAUUGAUGGGCCAAAGAGAAACCCACUGCCAAAGGCAGUUAAUUCUAUUUUCAGGUGAAGUUCCUAAAAAUCGAUAAGCAUAUGAAAGCUGGCUAUGCACACCAACAUCUAUAAAGUAGCAGGAUUCACACACGCAUAAUUUUCUAGAUGAACUAAAACAGGUGAAUUAGAAAAUUACUGUUUACUUUCAAAAUGUAUAGAAUACCUUUAAAUAGUAAGAUUGCUAUUGAAUUUGAGAUUACUUUUUUACUAAUAGUAUUUUAUUUUAUAUGAAUAUUUGAGUUGCAUGUCUGUUAUGUAAAGUGCUGGAUAUCAAUGGUUCACUUCAGUGCGAAUUUGUUAUAAAACCAUCAAAUGUACCUGAUGAGUGUUUCACCUGCUCUCAUCUACAGAAAAAAACAAUUUACUCACAUGUUCUACUCUAAACUUUCCUGUAUCUGUCUAUUAAGAUUGUCUCCCUAAGUGUUAAUCUCGGGAAAAAUGUAAUUGGUCUAGUUCCAGUUAUUAUGAAAACCAAUAAUCAUAAAAUUUCAUUUUUAAAAGGAUUUGAUACAGACUGAGAAGAAGUUAUAUUAGGAUAGGCAAUAGGCUGCAUAAACUUCCCAGGUUGACUCCUUUCCAAUAAGUCACACAGAACAGAACACUUUACUGCUCAAUUAGGACUUUUUCUAUGAAAAUAGAAUCCUUGUGCUAGAUCAGAAUUUACCAAGGCAGAUUAGAAGCCCCUUAGAAAUGCCCAAAGGAUGCCUUGCACAGGCUCUGAAAUGGUUUCAUACCAGGAACAAAAUUGACCAAGAUGCAUCCAUUGCUAUUUAAUCUUCUCAAGCAGACUGAGGAGACUCAAACUUGUCUGUUCUUUUCUUAACUGUGUCUGUGCUGAGAAAAAAGUUGAAAUAGAAGAUUAUCAGGCCAGAUGUCUGCUCCUUCCACCCCAGUCAUGUUCUGAUGACAAUUAGCAAACACUAGGAGUGAUGUUGGGGGGCCCAUCCAUACUCUGUCUGCUUUGGGACAUUGAUAAAGUUGUGAGUCUGUUCAGAUGCGCACCUGACAUUCAUCCAUCAGCCACUCAUCCAUCCUUUCAUUCAUUCAUUCAACUGGCAUUUCUUAAGCAGCUUCUCUGUUGUGCUUGAUACUACAUUUCCAUCAGAUCAUUUCUUUUGCUUCUUCAUUGUGCAAAGAAUAGAUUAGACUUUAAGCCACAGCAGAGGCUGUUAAAUGGUUCAUUUCUUUAGUGCUCCCAAAACAAGUAGUGUAAGUUAUCUCGUUCAAUUACCUUAAUAAUUGUUACUGUUUUCUCUCCAUUGUUUUAUUUUAUUUUAUUUUCCAACAACUUUAUUGACAUAAAAAUUGUAUAUAUUUAAGGUGCACAACUUGAUGUUAUAGUAUAGAUGCAUUGUGAGAAGACCAUUACAAUCAAGCUAAAUAACUUAUCCGUCACCUCUGCGCAGUUAGCAU
ensembl:lncRNA